ACGGGAGGCAGCAGUGGGGAAUAUUGCACAAUGGGGGAGACCCUGAUGCAGCGACGCCGCGUGAGUGAAGAAGUAUUUCGGUAUGUAAAGCUCUAUCAGCAGGGAAGAAAACAAUGACGGUACCUGACUGAGAAGCCCCGGCUAACUACGUGCCAGCAGCCGCGGUAAUACGUAGGGGGCAAGUGUUAUCCGGAUUUACUGGGUGUAAAGGGAGCGUAGACGGUGAGGCAAGUCUGAAGUGAAAGCCCGGGGCUCAACCCCGGGACUGCUUUGGAAACUGUCUGACUAGAGUGCAGGAGAGGUAAGUGGAAUUCCUAGUGUAGCGGUGAAAUGCGUAGAUAUUAGGAGGAACACCAGUGGCGAAGGCGGCUUACUGGACUGUAACUGACGUUGAGGCUCGAAAGCGUGGGGAGCAAACAGGAUUAGAUACCCUGGUA
rnacentral:rRNA from 1 species